rnacentral:rRNA from 1 species
AUUGAACGCUGGCGGCAGGCCUAACACAUGCAAGUCGAACGAGUGGCGGACGGGUGAGUCAUUUCUGGGAAACUGCCCGAUGGAGGGGGAUAACUACUGGACACGGUAGCUAAUACCGCAUACCAUCGGAUGUGCCCAGAUGGUCUUAGCUAGUAGGUGGGGUAAUGGCUCACCAAGUCGACGAUCCCUAUCUGGUCUGAGAGGAGGACCAGCCAACCUGGAACUGGGACACGGUCCAGACUCCUACGGGAGGCAGCAGUGGGGAAUAGUGCACAAGGGGCGCAAGCCUGAUGCAGCCAUGCCGCGUGUAUGAAGAAGGCCUUCGGGUUGUAAAGUACUUUCAGCGGGGAGGCGUUACCCGCAGAAGAAGCACCGGCUAAGUCCGUGCCAGCAGCCGCGGUAAUAA